rnacentral:rRNA from 1 species
GACGAACGCUGGCGGCGUGCUUAACACAUGCAAGUCGAACGGAAAGGCCCUGCUUUUGUGGGGUGCUCGAGUGGCGAACGGGUGAGUAACACGUGAGUAACCUGCCCUUGACUUUGGGAUGACUUCAGGAAACUGGGGCUAAUACCGGAUAGGAGCUCCUGCUGCAUGGUGGGGGUUGGAAAGUUUCGGCGGUUGGGGAUGGACUCGCGGCUUAUCAGCUUGUUGGUGGGGUAGUGGCUUACCAAGGCUUUGACGGGUAGCCGGCCUGAGAGGGUGACCGGCCACAUUGGGACUAAGAUACGGCCCAGAAUCCUACGGGAGGCAGCAGUGGGGAAUAUUGCGCAAUGGGCGGAAGCCUGAUGCGGCAGCGCCGCGUGCGGGAUGACGGCCUUCGAGUUGUGAACCGCUUUCGCCUGUGACGAGGCGUGAGUGACGGUAAUGGGUAAAGAAGCACCGGCUAACUACGUG